AUAGAUAAAAUGUGUGACCUGACCUGCCUAGACUCAUCAGAUAGACCCAGCCAUAAGAAAUUUCCUUACUUUCAGCCUUUUUUCUCUAUCAUUGAUCCUCCCAUUGAUAUUGCAGAUGUAUAUUUUCAAACAAUCACAAUGAGGAAGGUUACCGUAAGUAUCCACAUCUUUCCAAAGUGAUUUUAAUUUGAUAUAAAAAUCAGAAACAUUUUCACUUCCUUGGAAUGUCAUCAGUGAUAAAAUGUGGAACCGGAGGAUACGUCGACGCAAUGUGCGCUAGCCCGG
rnacentral:lncRNA from 1 species